UACUUAGUGGCAGACGGGUGAGUAACAUGUGGGUAUCUACCCUUUGGCCUGGAAUAACACGAGGAAACUUGUGCUAAUACCGGAUAAGUCUUUACGGAGAAAGCUUUAUGCACCAUUGGAUGAGCCCGCACUUGAUUAGUUUGUUGGUAGGGUAAUGGCCUACCAAGACUAUGAUCAAUAGCUGAUUUGAGAGGAUGAUCAGCCACAUUGGGACUGAGACACGGCCCAAACUCCUACGGGAGGCAGCAGUGGGGAAUCUUGCACAAUGGAGGAAACUCUGAUGCAGCGAUGCCGCGUGAGUGAAGAAGGCCUUUGGGUUGUAAAGCUCUUUCGUCGGGGAAGAAAAUGACUGUACCCGAAUAAGAAGGUCCGGCUAACUUCGUGCCAGCAGCCGCGGUAAUACGAAGGGACCUAGCGUAGUUCGGAAUUACUGGGCUUAAAGAGUUCGUAGGUGGUUGAAAAAGUUGGUGGUGAAAUCCCAGAGCUUAACUCUGGAACUGCCAUCAAAACUUUUCAGCUAGAGUAUGAUAGA
rnacentral:rRNA from 2 species